CAAAGAUGUUAAAAUCGAAACUUAUGUUGCUAAUUUAAUUAAAACAAAAACCAAACACCCCAUUUGGGGAUGUCUGGUCGUACAAAGAAGCAGGAGGCGAUGGGUUUCUUCAAACCCUAAAAUCCUUACUAAAACUCUCAAAUUGGAGGUGUAAAUCUGGUCCAAAACGAAAAUCGAGCAUAGAUUACUGAUCCCCAUUGCAAGGGGGUUGUAAGGUACUCAAGGAUUAUGGGUGACGAUCAAGCAACUUUUGAAGGACCGAACACAUACUCUUGAAGCUUCCGCAUAAAUCAACUCGGUUUAAACAAUGUUUAUGAUGUAAACUAUUUGCUAAACAACUUUUGAAAUGUUUAAACGACGUACUCAAUUAUGUUAUGUUGUAUUAUUUUAAAAUUGUAAAGUUUAAACAAACCCGUAUUUUUACAAAGUAUAUGUAGUCAUAAUUACAUGUUGUUUGUCGUA